UUAAAAUUGAAUGGCGAUUGUCGGUAUAGUCUCUUUUUCCAAAAAUCUUGUUUGUUUUUGCCAAUCUAAUAAGAAAGUGACUAGACCGAACACUCGUGCUAUAAUUUUAAAAU
rnacentral:pre_miRNA from 1 species